GAUGAACGCUGGCGGCGUGCCUAAUACAUGCAAGUCGAGCGAACAGAUGAGGAGCUUGCUCCUCGGACGUUAGCGGCGGACGGGUGAGUAACACGUGGAUAACCUACCUAUAAGACUGGGAUAACUUCGGGAAACCGGCGCUAAUACCGGAUAAUAUCUUGAACCGCAUGGUUCAAUGGUGAAAGACGGUUUUGCGGGCACUAAUAGAGGGAUCCGCGCCGCAUUAGCUAGUUGGUAAGGUAACGGCUUACCAAGGCAACGAUGCGUAGCCGACCUGAGAGGGUGAUAGGCCGCACGGGAACUGAGACACGGUCCAUGCGCCUACGGUAGGCAGCAGUAGGGAAUCUUCCGCAAUGGGCGAAAGCCUGACGGAGCAACGCCGCGUGAGUGAUGAAGGUCUUCGGAUCGUAAAGCUCUGUUAUGAGUUAAGAACAAAUUUGUAAGUAACUAUGCACGUCUUGACGGUACUGAAUCAGAAAGCCCCGGCUAACUACGUG
rnacentral:rRNA from 1 species